CCUACGGGUGGCAGCAGUAGGGGAUAUUGCACAAUGGGGGAAACCCUGAUGCAGCAACGCCGCGUGGAGGAUGAAGGGUCUCGGAUUGUAAACUCCUUUUGUUAGAGAAGAAAAUGACGGUAUCUGACGAAUAAGCACCGGCUAACUCCGUGCCAGCAGCCGCGGUAAUACGGAGGGUGCAAGCGUUACUCGGAUUUACUGGGUGUAAAGAGGGCGUAGGCGGGGUAGCAAGUCAGAUGUGAAAGCCUAUGGCUUAACCAUAGGACUGCAGUUGAAACUGUUAUUCUAGAGUAUAGGAGAGGUAGGCGGAAUUCUUGGUGUAGGGGUAAAAUGCGUAGAGAUCAAGAGGAAUACUCAUUGCGAAGGCGACCUGCUAGA
rnacentral:rRNA from 1 species